GCUCUGGUGGAGGAUUAGACUCAGAUCAAAAUAUAAUAAGCUGAACAUAUCCUUCUGACUAUGGGCGUAUUCUAUUGGUUAGCCAGAAUGUAUGGAAUUAGAAUGAGUCUGGAUCACCUUUCUUGAACACGCUUUUCUUUUUCAAAGAAGCUUAGAACGGCUGUCAGGAACACUUUUUCACGUCAACAUUGGAAAGUCGCUGCACAACCGUCUAGGCACGAGUAAGCAGCGUCGACAUAGCUGAGACGACAGCACUAAUGCUUCAAUAAUGUGAUACCUGGUUACAAGGGAACGAAGCUAGAGUAAAACAUCAGGAAACUUGGAAAGUUUCUAGGUAACCGUUGUAAAUCACCUCUCCACAGCCAANGGAGAAGGAUGUUUACAAAAUAUCUAAGUCCAAGGGAAAAAGCUACCAUCGAUUAUCGAAACCUGACGGGUUGUAAUAUUUCACGAGGACUGAAUAACCUCUGGACCGCUUCAGACGACUUCAACUAACUAGAACUGAGAGCUGUGGAAUCUAAUAACACCAAGUUAAGGAUUUAAGCUGGUCAUUUUCCAGCACUUCACCAAGGCAAAAAACUUCAAUUUGUACGACGAAUUUCAUACAAGCUCUAGGCACACGAGUCAAUCAGUGCAAGGGAUUUUUGUAGUUAUUCAUGUGAACGGCACUCGACGUAUAUCCAUCAUUGCCUUCUAAACGCACUGUCAUUCGAUUGCUUGUCCGGAUCCCAAGCCUCUUAAACAUUGCGACCAGAUUUAUUAAAGCUCUAUCCGAACAGACUCUCACAUUGUCAGUCUAUAAAUAUGCAAUUUGUCGGUAAGGCAAUACUCAGUACAGAAGAGAUUCCAGCAUAUUCGAUGAGUACGAAAGACCUUCGACAUGGUUGUUCAAGAAAAAUAACCGAGAGCGUCGAAUCGGCAACCAAGAAGUCAAGGCGCGAUCUCCUAAAGAUUUCUUACUUUUAAAGAAAUACGUGAUUACAAGAGGAAAAGCGACACCUCAGUUUGGCAAAUUUUCUAGAUUUUGCCGGAUUAGCUAAAUAUCUACUCACAUAAGCUAAACCUAUUUGGAAUCCCUCACAAAUAAUUAAUAUCUUUUUCUUAUAGUCAAAAGUAGCUUUCUGCUCUAAAAUGCCAAACAUGACCUAUUUUGCGUCCUUCGUAAAUGCAUAGGCCAAGAAUGACAUAUUUUGGAUCCCUUAUUGGAAAAUACACAUCGUCUAAAAAAUUAAGAAAAUGGUCCAAACUCGAUCAUAACAAAUACUUUAAGUCCCAAAAUGGUCCAAAAUAACCUAUUUUCCAUCCUUUCUUUUAAUAGAUCAGGUUUUAGAUGUGAAAAUGAUAGAUCUAAAUCAUGGGUUAUAGUUCAUGCUUUUGAUCCAAAACGUCUGUAGUUCAUGUUAUUUCUCAAUAUCACCCGUUUUAAAUGGAUAUUUUUAAAGACAUAUGAAAAUGACCCAAAACGAUCAAAACCAUGGUCUAUAGUCCAUGCUUUUUGCUCCAAAAUGCCCCAAAAUGAGUUAUAUUACAACGUCCAUAAAAAUGUCACAUUGUUUCAAAAGGUGUGAAAAUGAUGACCCAAAUUUAAUCAAAACUAUGGGCUAUAGUGCAUGCUUUUUGCACCAAAAUGGCCCAA
rnacentral:misc_RNA from 1 species